AUUGAACGCUGGCGGCAGGCCUAACACAUGCAAGUCGAACGAGUGGCGGACGGGUGAGCAAUGUCUGUGCAACUGCCUGAUGGAGGGGGAUCACUACUGGAAACGGUUGCUACUACCGCAUACCAUCGGAUGUGCCCAGAUGGGAUUUGCUAGUAGGUGGGGUAAAGGCUGACCUAGGCGACGAUCCCUACCUGGUCUGAGAGGAUGACCAGCCACACUGGAACUGAGACACGGUCCAGACUCCUACGGGAGGCAGCAGUGGGGAAUAUUGCACAAUGGGCGCAAGCCUGAUGCAGCCAUGCCGCGUGUAUGAAGAAGGCCUUCGGGUUGUAAAGUACUUUCAGCGGGGAGGCGUUACCCGCAGAAGAAGCACCGGCUAACUCCGUGCCAGCAGCCGCGGUAAUUC
rnacentral:rRNA from 1 species